GCCGGUGUAGCUCAGCGGUAGAGCAACUGAUUCGUAAUCAGUAGGUCGCAGGUUCAAAUCCAGUCACCGGCU
rnacentral:tRNA from 12 species